UGGGGAAUUUUGGACAAUGGGCGAAAGCCUGAUCCAGCAAUGCCGCGUGUGUGAAGAAGGCCUUCGGGUUGUAAAGCACUUUUGUCCGGAAAGAAAUCCUUGGCUCUAAUACAGUCGGGGGAUGACGGUACCGGAAGAAUAAGCACCGGCUAACUACGUGCCAGCAGCCGCGGUAAUACGUAGGGUGCAAGCGUUAAUCGGAAUUACUGGGCGUAAAGCGUGCGCAGGCGGUUUGCUAAGACCGAUGUGAAAUCCCCGGGCUCAACCUGGGAACUGCAUUGGUGACUGGCAGGCUAGAGUAUGGCAGAGGGGGGUAGAAUUCCACGUGUAGCAGUGAAAUGCGUAGAGAUGUGGAGGAAUACCGAUGGCGAAGGCAGCCCCCUGGGCCAAUACUGACGCUCAUGCACGAAAGCGUGGGGAGCAAACAGGAUUAGAUACCCUGGUAGUCCACGCCCUAAACGAUGUCAACUAGUUGUUGGGGAUUCAUUUCCUUAGUAACGUAGCUAACGCGUGAAGUUGACCGCCUGGGGAGUACGGUCGCAAGAUUAAAACUUAAAGAAUUGACGGGGUCAUAGCUGUUUCCU
rnacentral:rRNA from 1 species